AAGGACAGUGAAAAAGGUUGAAUGCUUAAGAUAAUAAUACUCUUGAAGGAAGUAGUGUUUGGAAUUCUGCGGGUUUUCCGUUUCUGUCUCUUUUCAGAGCUGCACACAAGUAAUCAGGAAAACUUUUUCAACAUACUAACAAAGAUAAGUGUAUUUCAAUUGGAUGCUGAACAUGGCUCUGAGGAUGAUGAGCAAAAAUCAUGAUUCCACAUGAUAAUGUAGGAAUAUCAGGUAUUUUGCAAGACACCUAGACAGCUUUCACAGCAUAUUUUCACAGCUUGAUGCAUUUAUUACUUCCAUACACUUCUGAAAAGCCUGUUUUCUUCUUUCAAAAUAAUGUGACACUUUUCUGCUCAUAAAUGCUAAACUGUUCUUCCAAACUAACUAGAUUAACAAACCUAAGACCAAUUUCCCAGAGUAUAUUAAAAAAAGAAUGAAUAUGUAAAUUUAAUUAUGAAGGGUUUGUGGACUGUAGGUAUAUUAUAAACUUUCCUCAUGCUGUAGUAAAGCAAUAAUAUAUAAUUUAACUCCAUCUUUACAAGGGUUUCACUGUUCUUCUUGUGUACCUUACUUCACCUUUGAGAAAUACUGGAAAUGCUGCAGAUACACAGUUCCUUGCAAAAGAUAAUUUGGUCCAAGGCUCACAGAAUUACUAUGAAGACUCUCUUUGACAGUAUUAUAGAGCUCCCCUGAGUUAUGGACUGUUAAUUACAGUGCAGCAGGCAGAAAAGUUGAAGGACACAGCAGGUGUUGGGAGCCUGUCCUCUUACUGGGAAUUCCUAUUGGGUAUUAGGGGAAUUGGGGUCAAUUGUCCCCACAGCUCCUGCAUUGCCCUACGUUGCGGCUCUCAGAGAAGUUUAAUUUCAGAAUGUUGCCCCUACAGAAUCACAUCACUAUCUUCAAUUCUAACUACAGACACUGAAGAUAAUAAGAGGGGAAUAUUUCUUAACCACUUCUGUAAAUCGGAAGUAAGUAUGACAACUCCUGGAAGAAUACCUGAUGUAAGUAUGAGAAAAAGCAAUUGUACACAUGCAAACACAGACACAUAAACACACUCCUCCAGCUGUACAGUCAGAUUUUCAAAGCAAGGCCCUUAGCACUUGGUUUACAAAACUCACAAAAAUAUUUUUGAACAAGGUGAGAAAAAUCCAGAGAUCUUUCAAAUACUGAAUGUAUUGAGGAAAACACACAUGUAUAUGUAAGCACAGUUCUGAUUACAGCUUAUAAGUAACUGGGAGGAAUUCCAAAAUAAUAAGUCUCUUCUGAACAAAUUUGAACCGAAAUAGGCACGGCCGAGCUAAAUUCAAUUUAGCAGAAAAGUCAUCUGAAAGAGACCCAGAGAGAAAGUUAAGGAAGGAUUUAUAGCAUCACUUCUCUGCAGGAGGAAAAAAGUGAACAAGGCUUUCCAAAUAAUAACCAGGAGAGGAUGAAAUAAAUAUGACCAAAAUUAUGCCCUAUGGAAAAAUCUCUUCAUCUAAGUAACUUGAUGCAUUUUCUUUGCCAUCUUGCCCACUUAUCCUUAGUAAGAUGGUGUUCAACUCAUUUUUCCUUCAUAAACUUGUUGACAUACAGGGGAUAAAUCCUGCUAUCUUUACAAUGAUGGCCUUGAAAACCUCUCUGAGAGCCGGAUGGCACGCCAGACCUUUCACCCGCAAAAACCUCUCCAAAAGCUGGGUGGCAUUGCCAAACUCUUCCAGCUGCCCCGCUCGCUUGGGCCACCAGAACCUCUACAAAGCCACCUCCACCCCUCUCCGGCCCUACAGCCUCCCUCGGCGGGGCUGCCACCUGCAGACCCGCAGUGGGCAGGGGCCGCGUCCCCACCAAGAGCUGCAGAGGCCAGCUGGGGCACAGCCCGCCGUGGGGACCCGCAGUACGGAGGGCUCACGGCCCCCGGCGCCCGUGCGCUUCUCCACACGGCGGUCCCACCCCGCCGAUCACCGACCUUUGCCACACGGGCCGGCGGGACGCGCGCAGGAGCCGGCCCGGCCAGGAGGGCCCCGGGCCCCCGCUGCCCACCCGGGCGCCCGGGGCGGCGAACGCCGCGUUCCCCUGCGCCCAGCCCCGCUCUCGCCCGACCGCGACACGGCGGGGCUGUUCCCCGCGGCCGCGGCGAUGCCGGGGAAGAAAGAGCAGCCGGCCGCCCUCGCCCGCCUUUCGGAUGAUUCUGAAUGCACAGAGGGAUCCAUCUAACUACUUAGAGCUUCCAGAAUAUUACCAUUUCAGCCACUUAAGAGUCCAUGAAGAAAGCUAGACCAAUAUGACUGCAAAUAGUUUUAUUUCCUAAUUACACAAAAUGGAGAAGACAUCUUGUGGAGAAGACAUCUACUAUCUGGAGUGGAGACUUACCUCUACCUUUCUGAUUUCUGUCAUACCUUCUCACCUGGUGACUCAGAAAUGAACUCUGCUUAAGGCAAAUGACUAAAAGGAAUUUGAACUAGACCUGAUAUAUAUUUCCAAGAUUUUUGAGCUGUGGAUCAGGCAUUAUUGUUCUCAGAUAUGACUUGAUAUUGGAUGUUGCACAGGAUAUAUUGCUCUUUGGCACGCUAAUAUGUACAAGGCAAUUCCAUCUCAGAAGUAGAGCUAUUUCACAGCACCACCAGCAUCUGACCUCUAGGCCCAUGUGAAAAGGCUAGAUCUUUACUGUAGUGGCAAUCACGUCUCUUCAUCUUGAAAAAUUAAGAGGUAAAACUAUGUUGAACAAAUACCACUUUAUUAGCAUAAUAAUAAUUGGUUCCCCAAAUUAAGAUGAUGGUAUUUUCUUGUCAUAUUGGAGUAACAUCAUUUAACCUCCACACUACACAAAGUAUGUAUGUAUUAAUACAAGGUAAUGGUGAACAAAGCCAAAAUGAUAGAAUAAUAUUCUACUGCUGCUCCAGCAACUCUGCAGGAUGCCUCAUUAUGUGAUAUAUGUUACAAGUAGCCACACUAAUACAUAUGUAAUUAUAAAAGCAUUGAUUCUAGCAGACAGUUGCUUUUUACCAGUCUUCACAAAUGACAUAAAUUAAAUUGAAGGACACUGUUCACCCACACUAUAUUUGGAGAUUUAUUUUAAUGAAGACGUAAUGAAGCAGAACGUUUUCUGGAUAGAAGAUAAUGAUAGCAAAUGACAAAAUUAUUUUGGAACUCAAAUCUCUUGGUAGCACAUUGAAAUGGAUGAGUGGAUGAACACUAAUUUAGAAAAUGUUCAGCAAGUUUGAGGUAAUAUGUUAACUUAGAUAGCCAAAGAUCUGAAGAGCAAAGUGGAGAAAGGCAUUCAGAAUUAUUGGCUAUGCAACUCAAAAAUGAAUUAUAGGCAUACGAACUGACCUUCUGGGACAUUUCAAGAGCUUGAAAAUACUCAGUGCCCUUGGCAUCCUUUCUAGGCAGAACUAAACAAUCAUUGUAUUCCAAAUUUGUUCCAAGGAGUUUUAUCACAAGAUUUGGAGCUUUAGCAUGGUCUGUGUCUAUGCCUCAGUUUUUUUAGUUGCCUGCACAUAUUAGAACAAAAACAUGUAAUUGUGAACUAGGAUUCUACUUCAAAAGAAUGUGAAAAAAAUGGAAAAAUACAAUGGUAAUGAACUGUAAAUGGUUCAAGGAAAGAACUCAUCUUUUAAAAUAUUUUAAAAUCUCAUUUUAUGUGAUACCUAGCCUUCUUUUUAGUACUUGAAGGGAGCCUACAAGAAAGAUGGAGACAGACAUUUUACAAGAGCUUGUAGUGACAGGACAAGGCGGGAUGGCUUCAAACCUCAAGAGAGUAGGUUUUUAUUAGACAUUAGGGUUCUUCACCUUCACCACCCAUUAGGGUGGGAAGACACUGAAAUAGGUCAUCUAGAGAAACAGUUGAUGCCCCAUCCCUUAAAGUGUUCAAGUCCAGGCUGGAUGGAGUUCUGAGUGACCUGGUCCACUGGAAAGUUUCCCUGUCCACAGCAGGGGAAUUGGAAUUAGAAGAUCUUUAAGCUUCCUGCUAAGCAAAACCGUUCUAUGAUUCUAAAUCUAAUAUCUUUAACCAUUUGCCCUUGUCCUUUCAUGUCAUGCCCUUGUAAAAAGUCCUUCUCUGCCUUUUUUGUAGAGACCUUUUAGAUGCUGUAAAGCUGCUAGAACGUUUUCCUUGAGCCUUUUCCAGGCUGGAAAACUUGAACUGUCUCAGCAUGCCUCAGCAUGUCUUCAUAAAAGAGGUGCUUAAAUCCCCUAGU